GUCGAACGAGAAAGGGGAGCAAUCCCUGAGUACAGUGGCGUACGGGUGAGUAACACGUGGAUGAUCUACCUUUUGGUGGGGAAUACCUCUGGGAAACCGGAGACAAUACCGCAUAAGCUCGGAAGAGGAAACCCGCAAGGGGCCGAAAGAGGAGUCCGCGGCCGAUUAGCUAGUUGGUGGGGUAAAGGCUCACCAAGGCAAAGAUCGGUAGCCGGCCUGAGAGGGCACACGGCCACACUGGCACUGAAACACGGGCCAGACUCCUACGGGAGGCAGCAGUGGGGAAUCUUGCACAAUGGGGGCAACCCUGAUGCAGCGACGCCGCGUGAGCGAUGAAGCCCUUCGGGGUGUAAAGCUCUUUCGACGGGAACGAUAAUGACGGUACCCGGAGAAGAAGCUGCGGCUAACUACGUGCCAGCAGCCGCGGUAAUACGUAGGCAGCAAGCGUUGUUCGGAGUUACUGGGCGUAAAGAGUGCGUAGGCGGUUGACCAAGUCUGUCGUGAAAUCUCCUGGCUUAACUGGGAGGGUGCGGUGGAAACUGGUUGGCUUGAGAGUGGGAGAGGUAAGCGGAAUUCCUGGUGUAGCGGUGAAAUGCGUAGAUAUCAGGAGGAACACCGGUGGUGUAGACGGCUUACUGGACCACGACUGACGCUGAGGCACGAAAGCGUGGGUAGCAAACAGGAUUAGAUACCCUGGUAGAAGGGC
rnacentral:rRNA from 1 species